UACGUAGGUGGCGAGCGUUAUCCGGAUUUAUUGGGUUUAAAGGGUGCGUAGGCGGCCUGCCAAGUCAGCGGUAAAAUUGCGGGGCUUAACCCCGUACAGCCGUUGAAACUGCCGGGCUCGAGUGGGCGAGAAGUAUGCGGAAUGCGUGGUGUAGCGGUGAAAUGCAUAGAUAUCACGCAGAACCCCGAUUGCGAAGGCAGCAUACCGGCGCCCUACUGACGCUGAGGCACGAAAGUGCGGGGAUCAAACAGG
rnacentral:rRNA from 1 species